rnacentral:rRNA from 1 species
CCUACGGGUGGCAGCAGUGAGGAAUAUUGGUCAAUGGACGGAAGUCUGAACCAGCCAAGUAGCGUGAAGGAUGACGGCCCUAUGGGUUGUAAACUUCUUUUAUAAAGGAGUAAAACUAGGCACGUGUGCCUUUUGGCAUGUACUUUAUGAAUAAGGAUCGGCUAACUCCGUGCCAGCAGCCGCGGUAAUACGGAGGAUCCGAGCGUUAUCCGGGUUUAUUGGGUUUAAAGGGAGCGUAGGUGGGUUGUUAAGUCAGUUGUGAAAGUUUGCGGGUUAACCGUGAAAUUGCAAUUGAUACUGGCGGUCUUGAGUACAGUAGAGGUAUGCGGAAUGCGUGGUGUAGCGGUGAAAUGCUUAGAGAUCAUGCAGAACACCGAUUGCGAAGGCAGCUUACCAACCUCUAUCUGACGUUGAGGCACGAAAGCGUGGGUAGCAAACAGGAUUAGAUACCCUAGUAGUC